ensembl:lncRNA
CACCACGGUGACACUGGGGUGUCCUUGAGGAGCCUCUUGGUGACAAUGAGCUGAUGUCCCCAAAAACGGUCGUGGUGGUAAUGGGGUGAGCCAUCGUGGUGACACUGGGGUGAUGUCCCCAAAAAGCCGCCGUGGUGACAACCGAGUGUCCUUGAGGAGCCACCUUGGUGACAAUAAAGUGUCCCCAAAAAGCCGUUUUGGUGGCAAUGGGGUGUCCCCAAGAAGCCACCAUGGGGACGAUGUGAUGAUGUCCCCAAAAAGCCACCACGGUGACAAUGGGGUGUUGUUGAGGAGCCAUCGUGGUGACAGUGGGAUGUCCCCAAGGGUCCACCAUGGGGACAAUGAGUGGUGUCCCCCAAGGGUCAUUGGAGGUGACGAUGGGGUGGUGUCCCCAAAAAACAUCAUGGUGACAAUGGGCUGUCCCCAAAGGUCCUUGGUAGUGACAAUAAAGUGUCCCCAAAAAGCCACCACGGUGACAAUGGAAUGUCCCCAAAAACGGUCGUGGUGGUAAUGGGGUGAUGUCCCCAAAAAGCCACCGUGGUGACAAUAAAGUGUCCCCAAAAAGGUGGGGAGAGAAUUUGGGGACGUUUUGGGGGAGGGGGAUUUGGGGACAUUGGGGCCGAAUUUGGGCACAUUUGGGGACAUUUCAGGGAUUUGAGGAUACUGGGGUCAGAAUUUGGGGACAUUUUGGGGGGAUUUGGGGCGUUGUGACAGAUCUUGAGGAUUUGGGGACACUAGGGGGGGGGAUUUGGGAAUUUUGGGGGCACUUGGUGACACCAGGAGGAGAUUUGGGGACAUUGGGGCAGAAUAUAGGGACAUUGAGGCAGAAUUUGGGAAUUUUGGGGGGAUUUGGGGACACUGGGGUCAGAAUUUGGGGACAUUUGGGCCAAAUUUGGGGACAUCGAGGCCGAAUUUGGGGGACGUUUCGGGACUUUUGGGAGAUUUGGAGCUGAAUUUGGGGAAGAUUUGGGGACAUUUAGGGAGAUUUGGGGACAACAGAACCAAGAUUUUGGGGACUUGGGGGCAUCAGAGCCAAAUCUGGGGACAUUGAGGGAAUUUGGGGACAACGGGAUUUGGGGACAUUUUGGGGAGAUUUGGGAACGUUUGGGGAUUUUGGGGACAUUGGGGCCAAAUUUGGGGACAUUUGAGGAGAUUCGGGGCCGAUUUCGGGGACAUUAGGGGGACAUCGAGGCCGAAUUUGGUGACUUUGAGGGAAUUUGGGGACAUCGAGGCCGAUUUGGGGGACAUUUGGGGACAUUUUGGGGACAUUCGGGUGACACCGGCGCCGUUUCUCUCCCGCGCCACCAGGGGGCGCCAGCAGCGCCCCAAACCCCGCCCACUUUUCAUUUGGCCAAUCAGAACACGGGGGGCGUGACCCAGCAACUUUCAUGGGCGUGAUCUCGUCGGUUUCGUGGGCGUGGCCUCGUUGGUUUGUGGGCGUGGUCUCGUCAGUUUCAUGGGCGUGGCCUCCGCACCAGGCCCCCCCCCCCCCCCCCCCCCCCCCCCCCCCCCCCCCCCCCCCCCCCCCCCCCCCCCCCCCCCCCCCC